ACUUAAAUAGUUUAAAAAAAAAUUUUAAUUUGUGGGAUUAAAGAUAUAAUUAAUUAUUUUAAGUU
rnacentral:tRNA from 1 species